ACCGACGCACAAGGUGUUAUCAUGUAAAACCGUCAAACUUGGUGAAAAACAUUCAAUAAAAAGUAAAACGUUGUGCAUAUAUUUUUUAAGUUGGUUUUUGACUUGCGCGGUAUCGUGGUUUUUAACUAAUUUGAGACGGUCUGUGAAAAUUAAUAAAACAGCAGUGACCGAAGACUGAAAUGUAAGAAGUGCGAUGCGAGAUUCUGACUAUGAGAUUACCAGAAACGUAAAAUGUUACUGAACUGUCGCCGCAUAUUUUUUACAUGGGUUACUUUACUAUAUUCUUCAAUUGGACUUGCUGAAGCAGCAUGGUCCGAGGCGUUGCUUUUGGACUAUGACUCUGCCACAUUUUACUUGGGAUACUCCGACAAUAGUGCUCCCCUGUCUACUCUGGUGUCAGUGUCGAAGCAGGGCUUAACUGCAUCUCUCAGUUUCACUCUGACAAAUGCAUUGAGUGACGAUGGGAUUCUCACGUGCUAUUCUAACCAUAAAGUGUGUGAGGCGCAAGUGUCAGCUUUGUUAGACGCCCCUAAAGAGUUCUGGACGGGAGAAGUCACAGUUGGUUUCAAAAUUAAUUCCGGGGAUCUGGAUCAAAUAGCAA